rnacentral:rRNA from 1 species
UUGUAGCAAUAUGAUUCAUGAUAGUGGCGCACGGGUGCGUAACGCGUAUGCAACCUACCCUUAACUGGGGGAUAGCCCCGGGAAACCGGGAUUAAUACCGCAUAAUAUAAUUUUGUUGCAUGAUGAGAUUAUUAAAGAUUUAUUGGUUAAGGAUGGGCAUGCGUGCCAUUAGCUAGUUGGCGGGGUAACGGCCCACCAAGGCUACGAUGGCUAGGGGUUCUGAGAGGAUGAUCCCCCACACUGGUACUGAGAUACGGACCAGACUCCUACGGGAGGCAGCAGUAGGGAAUAUUGGUCAAUGGACGCAAGUCUGAACCAGCCAUGCCGCGUGCAGGACGAAGGCCCUCUGGGUUGUAAACUGCUUUUGUACGGGAAGAACAGCCUCCACGAGUUGGGGGUUUGACGGUACUGUAAGAAUAAGGAUCGGCUAACUACGUGCCAGCAGCCGCGGUAAUACGUAGGAUCCGAGCGUUGUCCGGAUUUAUUGGGUUUAAAGGGUGCGCAGGCGGCCCGAUAAGUCAGUGGUGAAAGCCGGCAGCUCAACUGUCGAAUUGCCAUUGAUACUGUUGGGCUUGAGUAUAGUUGAGGUUGGCGGAAUGUAUCAUGUAGCGGUGAAAUGCAUAGAUAUGAUACAGAACACCGAUUGCGAAGGCAGCUGACUAAGCUAUUACUGACGCUCAUGCACGAAAGCGUGGGGAUCAAACAGGAUUAGAUACCCUGGUAGUCCACGCCGUAAACGUUGAUAACUCGAUGUUGGCGAUAUAAUGUCAGCGUCUUAGCGAAAGCGUUAA